rnacentral:rRNA from 1 species
AUGGCAGCAGCCGCCAGUCUCAAGCUCGCCGCCCUGUGCCUGCUCUUCCUCGUCGCCGUCUCCUCCCUCCCCCUGCUCGCCCGCGCCGAGUGCGAGUGCGAGGCCGGCGGCGAGGAGGAGGAGCAGGACAAGGCGGGCUCGCUGAGGCUCAGGAUCAUCGCCGUCUUCUGCAUCCUCGUGGCCAGCGCGGCGGGCUGCGCCAUCCCGUCGCUGGGCCGGAGGUUCCCGGCGCUGAGCCCGGACAGGGACCUCUUCUUCGGCGUCAAGGCCUUCGCGGCGGGGGUCAUCCUCGCCACCUCCUUCGUGCACAUCCUCCCGGAGGCCUUCGAGCGGCUCGGCUCGCCCUGCCUCGUCGACGGGCCGUGGCAGAAGUUCCCGUUCGCCGGCCUCGUCGCCAUGCUCGCGGCCAUCGCCACGCUCGUCGUCGACACCAUCGCCACGGGCUACUUCCAGCGCGCCGCGCACGCCAAGAAGGCCGCGGCCGUCGUCGGGGCCGACGACGUGGAGGCCACGCCGGCCCAUCACGCGCACGUCGGUCACUCCCACGGCGUGUCGGCCGUCGUCGCGUCAUCGGCGGCGGCGUCCGACGACGGCGGCGCGCAGCUCAUCCGCCAGCGUGUCAUCUCGCAGGUGCUGGAGCUGGGGAUCAUAGUGCACUCGGUGAUCAUCGGCAUGUCUCUCGGCGCCUCCCAGAGCACCAGCACGAUCAGACCACUCGUGGUCGCGCUAACUUUCCAUCAGUUCUUCGAGGGGAUAGGGCUCGGAGGAUGCAUCGUUCAGGCCAAAUUCCGCCUGAAGUCCGUGCUGCUGAUGGCGCUCUUCUUCUCACUCACCACGCCGGUCGGCGUCGUGAUCGGCAUCGGGAUAUCCUCCGUCUACGACGAGAACAGCCCCAACACCCUGAUCAUCCAAGGGAUGCUCAGCGCCGCCACCGCCGGAAUCCUCAACUACAUGGCCCUCGUCGACCUCCUCGCGGAAGACUUCAUGAACCCUAGGGUGCAGGGCAACGGAAGGCUGCAGGUCAUCGUAAACCUCUCCUUGCUGCUUGGGACGGCUCUCAUGUCCAUGCUUGCCAUAUGGGCCUGA